rnacentral:rRNA from 1 species
UACGUAGGGGGCAAGCGUUGUCCGGAAUCAUUGGGCGUAAAGAGCGUGUAGGCGGCCAGGUAGGUCUGGUGUGAAAACUCGAGGCUUAACCUCGAGAUGUCAUCGGAAACCAUCUGGCUAGAGUCCGGAAGAGGAGAGUGGAAUUCCCGGUGUAGCGGUGAAAUGCGCAGAUAUCAGGAAGAACACCAAUGGCGAAAGCAGCUCUCUGGGACGGUACUGACGCUGAGACGCGAAAGCGUGGGGAGCAAACAGG